AUUGAACGCUGGCGGCAGGCCUAACACAUGCAAGUCGAGCGCGCGGCGGGCGGGUGAGUAAUAUCUGGGAAACUGCCUGAUGGAGGGGGGUAACUACUGGAGACGGUAGCUAAUACCGCAUACCAUCAGAUGUGAGCAGAUGGGAUUAGCUGGUAGGUGGGGUAACGGCUCACCUAGGCGACGAUCCCUAGCUGGUCUGAGAGGAUGAACAGCCACACUGGAACGGAGACACGGUCCAGACUCCUACGGGAGGCAGCAGUGGGGAAUAUUGCACAAUGGGCGCAAGCCUGAUGCAGCCAUGCCGCGUGUGUGAAGAAGGCCUGCGGGUUGUAAAGCACUUUCAGCGGGGAGGCGUUACCCGCAGAAGAAGCACCGGCUAACUCCGUGCCAGCCGCCGCGGUAAUUC
rnacentral:rRNA from 1 species